GGUGGCUCAGCGGUAGAGAGCUUGCCUUGCAUGCAUGAGGCCCUGGGUUCGAUUCCUCAGCACCA
rfam:Dipodomys ordii contig_40593, whole genome shotgun sequence.